UACAGAGGUCCCAAGCGUUGUUCGGAUUCACUGGGCGUAAAGGGUGCUUAGGCGGUCGGGUAAGUCUGACGUGAAAUCUUCAAGCUCAACUUGGAAACUGCGUCCGAUACUAUUCGGCUAGAGGAAUGGAGGGGAGACUGGAAUACUUGGUGUAGCAGUGAAAUGCGUAGAUAUCAAGUGGAACACCAGUGGCGAAGGCGAGUCUCUGGCCCGAUACUGACGCUGAGGUGCGAAAGCGUGGGGAGCAAACAGG
rnacentral:rRNA from 1 species